rnacentral:rRNA from 1 species
AACGGAGGGUGCAAGCGUUGUUCGGAAUUACUGGGCGUAAAGCGCGUGCAGGCGGUCUUUUAAGUUUCGUGUGAAAUCCCCCGGCUUAACCGGGGAACUGCGCGGAAAACUGAAAAACUUGAAUACGGGAGAAGAGGGCGGAAUUCCCAGUGUAGAGGUGAAAUUCGUAGAGAUUGGGAGGAACACCGGCGGCGAAAGCGGCUCUCUAGACCGAUAUUGACGCUCAUACGCGAGAGCGUGGGUAGCAAACAGG